GCUAGCAUUGUCUUGUCCAUCAGGUGAAGUCUCGGCUGGGGGAGAAUCUUGCUAUUUUAUUUUAUUUAGUAGAAGUGUUGUCCCAUCAAGGUAGGUAGGCUAGAAGCACAUGGAUGACUUGUUUAAGGAAAGAAAGAGGUUGGAAAGAGAGCACAUGAUUGUCCUUUAUGAUGGUUGGAAGCAAUGUUAAUUUUCUUGGAGAAGUUGAAUGUCCACGUUGGUGAAGGGAUGUCUCGGCUGGAUGAGGAAAACAUUUCCCAUUUUCAUUUUUCUUUGAAUUCAAC
rnacentral:lncRNA from 1 species